rnacentral:rRNA from 1 species
GUCGGGCUGAAGACUCUACUUGACUAGCUGAGAGGAGGUGCAUGGCCGUCGUCAGUCGUACUGUGAAGCAUCCUGUUAAGUCAGGCAAUGAGCGAGACCCACGCCAACAGUUGCCAGCUCGUCCUCCGGGAUGGUGGGGGACACUGUUGGGACCGCCUCUGCUAAAGAGGAGGAAGGAAUGGGCAACGGUAGGUCAGCAUGCCCCGAAUUAUCUGGGCUACACGCGGGCUACAAUGGGUGGGACAAUGGGUAUCGACACCGAAAGGUGAAGGCAAUCUCCUAAACCCAUCCGUAGUUCGGAUUGUGGGCUGCAACUCGCCCACAUGAAGCUGGAAUCUGUAGUAAUCGUGUCUCAAAAUGGCACGGUGAAUAUGUCCCUGCUCCUU